CUGGGUAGCUUGCCUUUCUGUAGUGUGGAGGAACGCUGGGCAGGAGCGGCGCCGAGAAGAAUUCUCUGCUUCCCCAGAAGAUGAGACAGGGAGCAGCUGGGACCGGGUUCUGACCAAGGAAGGAAGGAUGCUGAGGGCACAGCUGACUCCCCUCCACUGACUCCUUCCCCUGAUCCGUGGCCCUGAUGGGGCAACAGCGCUGGGGACUCCUGCAGGUGACAACACUCAAGUGUUUGCCCACGUGUCUCCAUCAAUCAGCCUUGAAGUGGAACUGAGAACAUGCUUUUCAGAAGCGGCAUCAUUCUCUACUCAGCCAGAGCAUUGGGCCUGACAAUAGCUGGAUCCAGCAGAAAACUGGACACUCUAGGAGAUGUCAUGUGGAGAUGUGCCUGGCUGGACUAAUAGUCACGUGGAUAUGAUUUUUAAAAAAAUCUCUCAGAGCUUUCCUAAAAUCAAAUAAUAUUCUUCAGUUGCUUUAGUAGACGAGACAUUAGUUAGUGUCUUUUUAAUUUCCACAGAAGCUUUUUUUAUGUUACUAAAGAAACUAAACAUUAUGUCUUUUUUUUUGGUUACCAAAAUGGACUUAGUAUUAAAAACAAGAAACCUACAAGAAAGGAAACACUCAUAUGGAAUAGAAAUUGUGGGUCACAGCUUUUAAUUUUAUAUAAAAUCAUGUUUUAUUUAUUUACAA